rnacentral:rRNA from 1 species
GUCGAACGGACAGGUAAUGAAACCUAGUGAUUUAUCUGUUAGUGGCGUACGGGUGAGUAACGCGUGGGUAACCUGCCGUAUACAGGGGGAUAACACUUAGAAAUAGGUGCUAAAACCGCAUAAGCGCACAGGAUCGCAUGGUCUGGUGUGAAAAACUCCGGUGGUAUACGAUGGACCCGCGUCUGAUUAGCUUGUUGGUGGGGUAGAGGCCCACCAAGGCGACGAUCAGUAGCCGGCCUGAGAGGGUGAACGGCCACAUUGGGACUGAGACACGGCCCAAACUCCUACGGGAGGCAGCAGUGGGGAAUAUUGCACAAUGGGGGAAACCCUGAUGCAGCGACGCCGCGUGAGUGAAGAAGUAUUUCGGUAUGUAAAGCUCUAUCAGCAGGAAAGAAAAUGACGGUACCUGACUAAGAAGCCCCGGCUAACUACGUGCCAGCAGCCGCGGUAAUACGUAGGGGGCAAGCGUUAUCCGGAUUUACUGGGUGUAAAGGGAGCGUAGACGGUGAAGCAAGUCUGAAGUGAAAGGCGGGGGCUCAACCCCCGGACUGCUUUGGAAACUGUUUGACUGGAGUGCAGGAGAGGUAAGUGGAAUUCCUAGUG